CAGAACCCUGGAUAAUAAAACACGAGGAACAAGGAGAGUUGAUUAAAAAAAACAAGGAGAAUGAAGAAUCAAGUGAAGUUGAGGAGACAAAUCAUGUCAAACCUGGAGAAAAACCUUUGAGUUGCUCUCAAACCAAACAGAAAGAUUUAAA